rnacentral:pre_miRNA from 1 species
UAAUUAAUAAGAGAGCUCCCUUGUGCUCCAACACUAAAAAGAUGUGAUCUGAAGGCCACAUCUGCUAGUUCAUGGGUACCUCAAGGAGUGCAAUACAUAUAUAUAUAUAAUAUAACAUGUAUAAAUUCAUAUAUUACUUGCGCAGCCUAAGGGUUUGCAUGAGCUUGGAGACGAGGUUUCUUUGAUCUUUUUUGGUUUGGGGUGAAGGGAGCUCUCAGAAAAAUACCA